AGUUGACCUCGGAUCAGGUAGGAAUACCCGCUGAACUUAAGCAUAUCAAUAGGAGGGGAGAA
rnacentral:rRNA from 1 species